rnacentral:rRNA from 1 species
AUGCUAGAGCUUAAAUCAUGGCAGAAGAUCAACCUUAAGUAUAGCGCUUACCUAAUGGACAGGGUUGAUGUAGAUUCCAGCAUAAUAAAUUUAGAGGGCCAAGGUGUUCUUGAAUUAUGCGACCAGCACCUGAACUAUGUAUUUGGCAUCCCAUGUGGCAAUUCAGUCAUAGAAGGUGAAGGCGUUGAGCCGUCUGAAGCAUGCAUUGAGUACACGCGUGUGGCUGCAUCAUUUAGUGACAGAGGCACGCAUAGUCUUAAAGCGGUUGAGGCGUACUUAACUCGAGACAUCACAGAAUCAUCCACACAUAUAGAGCAGGACUGUUUCAAGAUUGUAUUUGUUAUUUUUGUAGUCGGUCAUGUACUUGCCCCUACGGCUAAGCACGAUUACAUAUCGAUAGACUUCUGGGCUGCACUGAAUGAUAUCAGCAAGAAAAAGGAUUGGAAUUGGGCAGGAUAUGUACUGAAGCAUCUGUUCCAAGCUGUGAGGAAGUUUAAGGCAGAUGUGUCCAAGAGAAACCCAACCGUCCACAUAGUUGAUUGUCAUCUAUUCUUGCAGCUCUUCGUGCUAGAUAGUCUCGAUCUAGGCGUUCUAAGCAUGUUGUGA